ensembl:lncRNA
CUCCAGCUCCCGCCAUGGGCCUGGUGACCACAGACUUGGGCUUCUUCUGAUCUUUUCUUCCUGAGGGAGAGGGUACAUUGCAAGGACGAAAAGUUGAAACUGCCCUUUUUAUUGUUUUGUUUUGGUUUUUGUUUGUUUUCUUGAGACAGGGUCUCGUUAUGUAGCCCAGGAUGGCCUCAAACUCUUGGCAAUCUUCCUGCCUCAGCCUCCCAAGUGCUGGGACCACAGGCAGGCACCAGCACGCUCAGGCUGCAGGUGCCCGUUUAGACACCUGCUUGGGCUUCCCCAGACUCCCGCUGUGUGCUGUCUACACCCGACCUGCAGCCUUCUCUACCUGAGAUGCACAAAGAAACCCAGACAGGACCAGUUGGCCCUGUGUGCUGUGUGCCGCCUCCUGACCGGCCUGUGUGGCACAGCCAGUGCAGCUCCCGGUCUAGCUGUCUGGCGUGUGCCAGCUGCUGGCGUCUCUUGCAGGUCAGAGCACCCACAAGAGGAUGCAGUGGUGGCUCCAGGCCUGCAUGUUCACCCUGGCCCUGCUGCUGCGCCUGGGCCCUGGGCUGGGCGCUCUGGGCCACCUUCCCCAAGACGUGGGGUCGGGUCCCAGGGCCGUGCAGAGGCUUCUGGGAAAUCUGCUGCAGGGCCUGGAAUCCAUUCUCCUGCAUCUGCCUGUGAUCACAGUUCCCGGAUGCCCUGGCCGGGCUCCUCCACGCCUCGGCCAUUGUGGCCCAAGACCAGUGGCCCCAGUACCUGCUGUAGGCCAUGCUGGUUCCUGACAUCCAUGAGCUGCGCAAUGCUGGACCUCACUGUACCACCCUGCCCGGUCGCUUGCACUCUCUGUCCCUUGUGCUUGGCAGAGCUCUCUGCCAGCAGAAGCCAUGGGUGGAGGCCCAGGGCAGCCACGCACAUGUGCAGUUAUCUGCAGUUUGGUGCUUUCCCUUUUCUUGUUUGUUUCUUCCUCACUAUGUAGCCCAGGCUGUCUGAGGACUCCCAGAGAUCCUCUUGCCUCAGCCUCCUGAAUCCUGGGAUAUAGGUGUGCCCCACCACACAUCUUUGCCCAGGGACAGGAACACUGCGACAUCAGAGCUGAACAGCCCUAUCCUCAGGUGCCCUGGGCAGGAGAGUGGGGAGGGCUGGAGGCCUGCUUCCUACCAUAGCCUGGGCCUUGAGCGUCCCCCUCCUGUGUGGUGAGGACCAUGCCAGGAAGAGCCCACAAGUUUGCCCUGAGGCCAGAGGGACCUGGACAGCCACGUGCUGCUGCCCUGCGCCGGGACAGAGGAUGGGAGCUGGGAGGUAGGACCGGGGACCAGGAAGCUGAAGGCCUCCACCCUUUGACCAACAUUUAGCAAAGUAGAUGGAGUCGCCCGAUAGCCACUUAGGCCAUCAGGUAGUUUACUAGCAGACAUAAAAUGCCACACUGCAUAAAUCCAUGCUAAUUGCAGAGCAAUUUUGAUUUUUCUAUGCGCUCUAUAAAAAUAUAUAUUCCCACUUUCACGUGCUUUUUUCUUCUUUCUUGUUCUUUUUUUUGUUUUGUUUUCCUUUUCUUUUUUGUUUGCAGAACUUGGGAUUGAACCCAGGGCCUUUGGACUGAACUACCUCCCAACCCUUUUUUUUUUUUUUUUUAAUUAAUUUGAGACAAGGUCUCGCCAACUUGUUAAAUUCCCCACUCUGGGCUCAAAUUUUCGAUCCUCCUUCCUCAGCCUCCUGAUUUCAAAUUCAGGCUCAGCUUGGGCAACUUAGCAACUCAACAAGGAUUCAAAAUAAAAAAUUUACAAAUGGGCUGGGGAUGUAGCUCAGUACAAAAGCCUUGGGUUCGGUCCCCAGUGCUGGAGGAGGAGGGUGGGAAUCUUGUUUUUAAAAAACACCUCCUGGCUUUAAAAUUGUCUCCACCU